UACGUAGGUGGCAAGCGUUGUCCGGAUUUACCGGGCGUAAAGGGUGCGUAGGUGGAUGUUUAAGUGGGAUGUGAAAUACCCGGGCUCAACUUGGGUGCUGCAUUCCAAACUGGGGAUCUAGAGUGCAGGAGAGGUAAGUGGAAUUCCUAGUGUAGCGGUGAAAUGCGUAGAGAUUGGGAAGAACACCAGUGGCGAAGGCGACUUACUGGACCGUAACUGACACUGAGGCACGAAAGCGUGGGUAGCAAAC
rnacentral:rRNA from 1 species